AACGAACGCUGGCGGCAUGCCUAAUACAUGCAAGUCGAACGAGACCUUCGGGUCUAGUGGCGCACGGGUGAGUAACACGUAAGUAAUCUACCUUCGAGUGGGGAAUAACGUUCGGAAACGAACGCUAAUACCGCAUAAUGCAGCGGCAUCGCAAGAUGACAGUUGUUAAAGAUUUAUCGCUUGAAGAGGAGCUUGCGGCA
rnacentral:rRNA from 1 species